UGGGGAAUAUUGCACAAUGGGCGAAAGCCUGAUGCAGCAACGCCGCGUGAGUGAUGAAGGCCUUCGGGUUGUAAAGCUCNGUCUUUUGGGACGAUAAUGACGGUACCAAAGGAGGAAGCCACGGCUAACUACGUGCCAGCAGCCGCGGUAAUACGUAGGUGGCAAGCGUUUGUCCGGAUUUACUGGGCUAAAGGAUGCUGUAGGCGGAUUUUUAAGUGAGAUGUGAAAACCCUAAGCUUAACUUGGGGACUGCAUUUCAUANUGGAAAUCUAGAGUGCGGGAGAGGAGAAUGGAAUUCCUAGUNUAGCGGUGAAAUGCGUAGAGAUUAGGAAGAACACCAGUGGCGAAGGCGAUUCUCUGGACCGUAACUGACGCUGAGGCAUGAAAGCGUGGGUAGCAAACAGGAUUAGAUACCCUGGUAGUCCACGCCGUAAACGAUGAGUACUAGGUGUAGGAGGUAUCGACCCCUUCUGUGCCGCAGUUAAC
rnacentral:rRNA from 1 species